UAAACACAAAAUCCAGAACUUGCAUAUUAACUAAAUUUGGAAUCAAGUACAAAAGAUAAAGAAUUGGAGAAGAGAUAACCCAUGUCACAUGAGCUUCAACUCCUCCUUCUUCAUCUCAAUCUUCAUCCUAAUCUAGCAAUAUACAAGAGUGGAUGCACUAACUAGCUAAACUAUACUACACUAAUCUAAUACUAAGAGAAUGGAAAAACUACAUUUCUGCACUUCCAAUCUUACACCCGUUGUAUGAUUCCUAGACCUCAAAUGUCUCUGCAUAUAAGCUGAUGAAAAGUCCUUCCCUUACCAGUCAAAAAUUUCUGCUAUGAUUCUCCAAAUCUGAAUUUGUUAAGGGAGUAAAAAAUAAUGGCUUUUGACUUGGAACCUUGGCUAUAUCUCUUCCUUAUGUCUUCUGAAGCAUGUGCAGCCUACGUUUUCUCUCCAACUCUAGCUGGAAAGUAGUGUGAAGAUGAGAAAAAUGGCUGAGCAAAUUACAGAAAUUCGGCUGCCAGACACGUUUUUACUUUUGACCUCACUUCAACUGCAUUUUUCUCCAUGAUGAAGGCCGAACUGGCUUUUGUGCAAAACACAAAAGUUGUAGCCCUUUGAAUUAGAGUUCCAAUGCUUCAAGAAUCAUCUAAUUUGGAGAUCGGUGGACGGAGAUAUGGUCAAAAUACCAUAGACUGGUCAAUUCUGGGCUUCAGCUUUCGACCAUCCAGAUAAUUUUCUGUGUUUCGACCUUUUGACCAAGAAAACGGCUGAAUUGGACUUUGAUGUCUUCAUACCAAAUGCAGAUAUAUCUCUUAGCUUCAAAAUGGUACCAAGAUCACCUUGAUCCGAUCAUUUUAGCUCCUGAUAUAGUCAAAAUACGAAAAUGUGUCUGAGUUGUCAAAGCUGACUUUUCCUUGAUUCUUUUUGUUCUC
rnacentral:lncRNA from 1 species